CUAGUCAUAGGUUCCUAAAACAUCAUUUAAAAUGUUCAAAACCUACCCUCCUUGGAAAUCUCUUACAAAAACAAGUCCCAAGUCUCAAACCUGUGUCUAUUUUAUUUAUUUUAACCCCUCUGUAGAGAUUUAUUUGCAAAAUAAAUCCUAAACUCAAACCUAGAAUUUAAAUAAACAAUUUUAGUCCCUUAUUUGGAAAUUAUUAACAACCUUAGUCUAUUUAAUAUAUUUAAAUUCAUGAAUGGAUCCCAUAUAUUGGUUAAAUUUCCAAACAACUCUUCACAUAUUAAUUUAUGUUAAUAUUUCUAGGAAACUAAAUAAAUCUCGACGAUUCGUAUUCACGACAAUAUAUCUCGCUUUUUCUCGCAACAAUUACUCGACAACUACACAUUAAGGUGAGUGUUACCUCAUAGCCAGUUAUCAACUUUGUAGUUUCAUUAUACCUCAUACAUACACAAAAANAAAUACACAAAAAAAUAUCAUUGUUUUGUAUAAAUACUUUACCAGUUUUAGAAAUAAUUGUUUAAACGCUUACAUGUUAAGUAAACAAAAUCGUUUUAAACCUCAAUACUUUUAUAUGUUAUUUUGUUAAGAUAAUACACAUGCAGUUUUGUUUAUCGUUGUAAUUGUGCUAUAUAUUCAGUUUAUCUGUGAUCCAUGAACUUAGUCCCACUCCCGGCGUGUUCCGCCUUGGCCGGGGGUGUGACAGAAUGGUAUCAGAGCUAAAUUGGCUAUAGAGAACUCGUAUCCUCGAAAGAGUAAUACAACUAUAGCAGACUAGCUUCUAAUAAAAGUAUUAUUAAUAAUAACACUAUUUCUCGACUACUUACGCCGUUUGAUGUCCGGCCAUCGUCUGUGCUCGGUAUUCGGGAAGAACAAACAAAAAUUAAUAAUACUACAAACCCCACCAACCAUAAUAUAUAAGAGUUUGUAUAUACUCUGUUUCGCGAUGAGAACACUUAAUAAAAUUUUAACAUCCCUUCAACUAAAACUACCAACUCAACCCUUUAGGUCAGACGCCUCAAUUAGGGUUAGUAUCGUACAUAAGUCAUACCAUAAAUAAACCUGGAAUGCGCACCUAUGUUAUUUAUGGUCAGGCCGGUGCACAACCAACCCUGAGCAAGGAGUCUGACAGACUACAACGGUUGAAUGUUUUAAGAGAUUGAAGGAUGUUCUCCAGAUUCGCUACAGCAACCUAGUACCUUAGAAUCCAUACAUACAUUUUAAAACACUUACAAUUCAUUAGCAAUUAAGGUCCCCUUUCUAUCCUUUAGAAAUCUAGAGGAUUUCUAAACCAAGCACCUUUUCCUUAUCAUUUGGAAAUCUAGAGGAUUUCUAAAUCAAUCCUCUUUCUCUUAUAAUUUAUAGGAUUUCACAAGCAAACUAUAUCAUAAAAUGCAUCCCAUGCAUACUUGUUAGGACUUUAUAGUAUUAACACAACUUAACGUGUCCGUUUUAAACAUAUUAGGAGAUGGCCCCACGAAAGCAACCGGGAGUUCGUCCACCGCCAACUCCCCGAGACAACGCGAGGAGAACCCCACCAGUAACUCAAACAUCAGUGGAAACGCCAAACCAGGGAGGAGACCCAGAAGUAACAAAUGUAAACCAAACAUUCCAAAUGAAUUCUGCCAUGAUGCAGAACAUGCUCGCACAAGGAAUUGCUACGGCUUUGGCAGCAUACGAGGCAGCCCGAAAUGGAAACACUGGAACUAGUGGAAGUGGCACUCCCGCAACUCACCAAAGCAACACCAGACACUGCUCCUAUAAGGAUUUCAUGAGCUGCAAACCUCGACUCUUCUACGACACUGAAGGAGCUGUUGGGCUAUCCCGUUGGAUAGAAAAGACUGAGGCUGUCUUCCACAUCAGUGCUUGCCCCGUUGACUAUAGGGUUAAGUACGCUACAUGCAUGUUAAUGGACUCCGCUUUAACUUGGUGGAAUAACCAUGCGAAGUCCAUGGGAAUCACUGAAGCUUAUGCCAUGGGCUGGGAAUCCCUGAAGCAGCUAAUGACCAAGGAGUAUUGUCCCCGACAGGAGAUACAAGCUCUAGAGCAAGAGCUUUGGAACCUUGUCAUGAAAGGAUCAGAAGUAGCUGCUUACACCUCUCGAUUCAAUGACCUUGCAAACCUUUGCCCAGGAAUGGUGNAAACCUUUGCCAGGAAUGGUGACCCCGGAAGACAGGAAGAUCGAAAGGUACAUUUGGGGACUAGCUUCACCUGUUCAAGGUCUAGUGAUGGCAUCCAAACCCUCCACUUUCGAUAGUGCUAAGCAAUUAGCCUAUCAGUUGACUGAACAGUGUGUCCGGCAGGGUACCAUGACCCCACCGGCAGAGAAGAAGCUCACUGGAGGCACCAAAAGGAAGUUUCAUGGGGAAACAAAGGAGGACUCCAAGCAUCAGAAGCUUGAACCAGAACCGUUAGCUGUCUACGCUGCAGUUACUAAUACUCCCACCCCAACUAAGUCCUACUCUGGGACUUUACCUCAUUGUAUAAAGUGCAAUUUCCACCAUAUCGGAAAUUACAGGGAGGUGAUCUGCAACAAGUGUAACAUGAGAGGUCACAUCUCGAGGUACUGUAGAAGAACCCCAACCACUAUGGCAGAAGGAAUUCAUAACUGUUACGAGUGCAAUCAGCCAGGGCAUUUUAGGAAGGACUGCCCACAACUAAAGAACCAAGGUGGCAAUGGAAGGGUACUUAUGAUCACAGCAAGAGACGCUCUUUCGGAACCACCUGUGGUUAUUGGUACGUUUCAUAACAACAAUGUUUAGGCCUCAGUAUUUAUUAAUACUAGUGCCAAUUAAAGUUUUAUCGACCAUAGGUUUAAAAACGCGACUAAACAUGAAAUCUAUGCAGUAGCUAUAACAAAAAGUACUUGUUGGUUGCCUUAUCACCCAAGUUAAUCAUGCCAUUCACAUAGAAACUAAGUACCCUUGCUGGUAAUCUAUGCUUGCUAAAUUUAUACGUUAGGGUUGUAUAUAAUUAAGAUUCUAUAGACUUAGGAUUUGUGAUUCCGCUUUACUUCCUAUUCCUUGUUUGGUUGUGGGCUUAGAGUAGAAUCACUUAUUCGACUGACUAUUCAAUCUUGGUUAUAUACAACUUAUAUACACCAAGGGAAUGUAGAAGGACCAGCCAAGGAUCAUGCGCCACGUAAGUACAUUACUAUUUAUCGAUAUGGAAAAAGUACUCCCUAGUUGCUUUCUCACCCGAAUUAAUCACAUCAUUCAUAUAGAAACUAAGGACCCUUGCUGGUAAUCUAUGAUUGCUAAGUGUAUAAGUUGGGGUUAUAUAUAAUAAAGAUUCUAAAGACUUAGGAUUUGUGAUUCCACCUUACUUCCUGUUCCUUGUUUGGUUGUGGGCUUAGGGUAGAAUCACUUAUUCGACAGUCUGUUCGAUCUUGAUUAUAUACGACUUGUAUACACCAACCGAUUAUAGAAGGACCAGGCAGGGAUCAUGUACCAUGAGAUUACAUUACUAUUUAUCGAAGCCCUAGUACUACCAGUACCAACUUAAUUUCGGGACAAAAUUUCCUUUAACGGGGAGGUAAUGUGACAACCCAUAAUUUAGGGCUAUUAUUAUAACCGCCAAUCUAUCCGUGAAUCUCAUGUUAAUCCGAAUUAUUGAGUUUUAGUACAUCUAAGGGAAAAUAAAUAAUUUUAUUUCAAUUAUUACAUGAUAUCAGAUCAUACCUUACUUCCAAAUGUGUAAACUGUAAUCCGAAUCAAACCGCUUAAACAGCAACGCUAAUUAAUGCGUUUGAAAAACUAAAAAUUUGCAUUACGUAGUUUUGAGCAAAACAAAAAUUAAAAUAUCAUACUACAUUUUCCUCUCUUUCCACAAAUAUAAAGAACAUCCAAAACGGAGUUCGUAUGCAAAAGAUACGACAAUUUUAAGAAAACAGACAGUAAAACACCGGUUUUCUUUAAUCGCGUAAAACCGAAUCGAUCCGUUGAAGUACUUAAACUUUGCCGAAUGGAUUUCUGAGAGCGUUUUUGGACUCAUAAUAUAGUCUAUUAUUUAAUUUCACACUCGAAAUAAUUUUUACGAAAAUAUUUACAAAAUUCGCGAAAACGGACACCGUGAACCGUUUAGACGUAAAACUUCAAACGCAAUUUCCCAGAGAUCCGUAACUCCAAAAAUUAAUCCGUUUGAUGUUCCAGAAUCCUUGAAUUAAACUCUAUCUAACGGUACAUUCGAAAAGAAUUUUCGAUGCAUGGAUCCCGAGGCACCCAGUUUUGUGUGUUUUGGGCAAUUAAUGAGGGAAUAACCCAUGUGGGGCCCACAUGUGACACAAGAAGGAAAAAAGUCUAGAUUUUCUUCCCUUCUACUUCUUCCCCACGUUCUUCUUUCCUCCCCCUCUCUUCUUCUUUGUGUGCAAGUCUAUCAAAAAUGGUACAAUGCUUGGUUGGAGGUAUGGCCACAAAAGAGUGUGUGUUCCUCUUUUAGUAUAAAUAAGAGCUCUUAGAAGCCAUUAAAGUCACCAAUUCACAGCCACUUCUCUCAAGUUCUCUCCCUCCUUAUUUCUCUCUAUUCCUAUUGAUUUCUUGAUCAUCACCCUUAACCACCACAACCCCGUCAUAAACCACCACCUCUUAUGCCGUUAAUACUGCCGCUGUAAGUACUCAUCCCCAACAUUUGUUAUUUAUUUAUUCAUUUUUUUUUAUGAUCGAGCUUUGACGAGGUCCUGAAUCAUUUUUUUAUCAUUCAUGAAACUUCAUGUAGAUGAACACACGAGGUAAAUUACCUCCUAUGCAAUUGAGUUUAAUUGAUUUUACUGUUUGUUACAUUUUACUUACUUCAAUAAUGACCUCAAAGUUUGUUGAUGUUACGAAAUCAACCCCCACACCUUAUACGUCCAUUUCAAGAUUUACACAAUCCUCCCCUCCACUUCAAAGGUUUCUACAAAUAGGACCCUAAGUCCCAAACUUCAAUUCCAAAAUAAUUCUUAGCUCCCUCCCAAAGAAUUUGUUUACAAAACUAGUCAUAGGUUCCUAAAACAUCAUUUAAAAUGUUCAAAACCUACCCUCCUUGGAAAUCUCUUACAAAAACAAGUCCCAAGUCUCAAACCUGUGUCUAUUUUAUUNUAUUUUCACCUCUCUAGAGAUAUUUAUUUGCAAAAUAAAUCCUAAACUCAAACCUAGAAUUUAAAUAAACAAUUUUAGUCCCUUAUUUGGAAUAUUAACAACCUUAGUCUAUUUAAUAUAUUUAAAUUCGUGAAUGGAUCCUAUACAUUGGUUAAAUUUCCAAACAACUCUUCACAUAUUAAUUUAUGUUAAUAUUUC
rnacentral:lncRNA from 1 species